rnacentral:rRNA from 1 species
UCUGACCCAGCCAUGCCGCGUGCAGGAAGACUGCCCUAUGGGUUGUAAACUGCUUUUAUACAGGAAGAAACACUAGUACGUGUACUAGCUUGACGGUACUGUAAGAAUAAGGACCGGCUAACUCCGUGCCAGCAGCCGCGGUAAUACGGAGGGUCCGAGCGUUAUCCGGAAUCAUUGGGUUUAAAGGGUCCGCAGGCGGUCGAUUAAGUCAGAGGUGAAAUCCCAUAGCUUAACUAUGGAACUGCCUUUGAUACUGGUUGACUUGAGUCAUAUGGAAGUAGAUAGAAUGUGUAGUGUAGCGGUGAAAUGCAUAGAUAUUACACAGAAUACCGAUUGCGAAGGCAGUCUACUACGUAUGUACUGACGCUCAUGGACGAAAGCGUGGGGAGCGAACAGGAUUAGAUACCCUGGUAGUCCACGCCGUAAACGAUGGACACUAGUUGUUGGGCAUUAGCUCAGUGACUAAGCGAAAGUGAUAAGUGUCCCACCUGGGGAGUACGAUCGCAAGAUUGAAACUCAAAGGAAUUGACGGGGGCCCGCACAAGCGGUGGAGCAUGUGGUUUAAUUCGAUGAUACGCGAGGAACCUUACCAGGGCUUAAAUGUAGUCUGACAGCUUUAGAGAUAGAGUUUUCUUCGGACAGAUUACAAGGUGCUGCAUGGUUGUCGUCAGCUCGUGCCGUGAGGUGUCAGGUUAAGUCCUAUAACGAGCGCAACCCUUGUCGUUAGUUGCCAGCAUGUAAAGAUGGGGACUCUAACGAGACUGCCGGUGCAAACCGCGAGGAAGGUGGGGAUGACGUCAAAUCAUCACGGCCCUUACGUCCUGGGCCACACACGUGCUA